rnacentral:rRNA from 1 species
UGGGGAAUUUUGGACAAUGGGCGAAAGCCUGAUCCAGCCAUUCCGCGUGAGUGAAGAAGGCCUUCGGGUUGUAAAGCUCUUUCGCAAGGGAAGAAAACUUAUAUUCUAAUAAAGUAUGAGGAUGACGGUACCUUGAUAAGAAGCACCGGCUAACUACGUGCCAGCAGCCGCGGUAAUACGUAGGGUGCGAGCGUUAAUCGGAAUUACUGGGCGUAAAGCGUGCGCAGGCGGUUUUGAAAGUAAGAUGUGAAAUCCCCGAGCUCAACUUGGGAACUGCGUUUGAAACUCCAAAGCUAGAGUAUAGGAGAGGGGGGUAGAAUUCCACGUGUAGCAGUGAAAUGCGUAGAGAUGUGGAGGAAUACCAAUGGCGAGG